UUUACUGUUGCUUUUUCGGUGAUCAGUAUUGUGAUUGGCAGGUAGCAGUACCUUUGCUAGAAUUCUGUGGAUUUGCUGUUGCAGUAGCGUUUGUGUGUAUGUAUAGACAGGAAGUGAAGGCCAGCAAAACAGCCUUAGAGAUUUCUGGAAAUGAUAAUGAACUAUUAUUUAAUUAAAACAUUUUAUUUUCAUUUAGUGCUAUGGAGUAACUACAAAAGAUCCCAAAGGUAACAUCACAGUUUCUACAUGUGAUUGUUACCCAGCUGGGGGAAACAACAUAUCCCAUUCACUUUAUUGAGAUAGGUGGCUGUUAAAUGGCAAAUGGGAUUUUUCAUGUGCAUAUAAUAUACAUAAAAUCUAUAAACAU